CUUAAUUUAAUUUAAUUUGUUAUUGUUUUUGGUUUUGGGUUUGUUUGUUUUGUAUAACUUGCGAUGCUCACUGAUUUACUUUUAUUUUAGUAAGUAUAUAUUCUCAUGAAGUGAAAUGUACAAUUUCUUUUGAGAAAAUAAAGUUCUUUAAGCAUAAUACAGAAUUCUUAAAAUUAUUUCUUUUUUUCAGAACGCCCCUUUUAUGAAUGACCCCGGACUGUUCUCUCCAAGGUCCAGCGCAUGCAGCAGCCCAGUGCCAGUAGCUUUGCCUGAAAGGCAAAGUAUAUUAAUUCUAGGACCAAAUGGAACUCUUGAGGGUACUCCAUUAGAGAUCAGACCAAGUGUACAGCCCACUAUACAACAGAUCACACCUGUGCAACCACCUACGAUACCGGCCACACCUGUGCAGCCUCCACAGCCUCCACAGGCGUUGCAAGAUUAUAAUAGGGAAGGAUACUUCGAACCAAAGUUGGUGAGGAACAAGCAAAUUCAACCGCGUUGCUGGGAAUUGU